rnacentral:rRNA from 1 species
GUGCCAGCCGCCGCGGUAAUACGGAGGGUGCAAGCGUUAUCCGGAUUCACUGGGUUUAAAGGGUGCGUAGGUUGAUAGGUAAGUCAGUGGUGAAAUACUCCGACUCAAUCGGAGAACUGCCGUUGAUACUAUCUAUCUUGAAUACGGUGGAGGCGGGCGGAAUGCGUCAUGUAGUGGUGAAAUACUUAGAUAUGACGCAGAACACCCAUUGCGAAGGCAGCUCGCUACACCGGCAUUGACACUGAGGCACGAAAGCGUGGGGAUCAAACAGGAUUAGAAACCCCCGUAGUCC